GUUGCCUAAUAGUUUAAAAAGCCCCUAUUUUAUAGUCAGUGCAUCUUUCUGUGGGUCCCCAGAGAAGGGAAGACUGUGAGAGAAAUGUGAACACAGAGCCAUGCAGAGGAAAGAUGAUACAAAGAGACACAGGGAAAAGACACCAUCAACAAGCCAAGGAGUGAAGCUCUCACAGCCCUCAGGAGGAGCUAGCUCUGCCAACACCUUGAUCUUGGACUUCCAGCCUCUAGAACUGUAAGAAAAUAGAUGUCUGUUGUUUAAA
rnacentral:lncRNA from 1 species